rnacentral:miRNA from 1 species
UGCCUGGAACAUAGUAGGGACU